AGAUUGAACGCUGGCGGCAUGCCUUACACAUGCAAGUCGAACGGUAACAGGUCUUCGGAUGCUGACGAGUGGCGAACGGGUGAGUAAUACAUCGGAACGUGCCCGAUCGUGGGGGAUAACGAAGCGAAAGCUUUGCUAAUACCGCAUACGAUCUACGGAUGAAAGCAGGGGACCGCAAGGCCUUGCGCGAACGGAGCGGCCGAUGGCAGAUUAGGUAGUUGGUGGGAUAAAAGCUUACCAAGCCGACGAUCUGUAGCUGGUCUGAGAGGACGACCAGCCACACUGGGACUGAGACACGGCCCAGACUCCUACGGGAGGCAGCAGUGGGGAAUUUUGGACAAUGGGCGAAAGCCUGAUCCAGCCAUGCCGCGUGCAGGAUGAAGGCCUUCGGGUUGUAAACUGCUUUUGUACGGAACGAAAAGACUCUGGUUAAUACCUGGGGUCCAUGACGGUACCGUAAGAAUAAGCACCGGCUAACUACGUGCCAGCAGCCGCGGUAAUACGUAGGGUGCAAGCGUUAAUCGGAAUUACUG
rnacentral:rRNA from 1 species